rnacentral:lncRNA from 1 species
CACCAAACUCAUCUAACGCAAAUCAAGGAUGCGUUUCCUUGCUUCACGACAUCAAAUUUCAUCAUCUACAUUUUUAUCCAAGUGUUUUUCCACCCCUAAAAUUCUUGCCUUUUUGUCGUCGCCAUUGUUCAUCAGCUCAACAUUGAUAAAACAAAAACUAAUUACAGAUGAUACGUUAAACUCCGAUUUCAUAUACCAUUAAUGAAUCAUUUGAGCUAUUCUACAUUCUCUUCCACUUUCAACAGAGGAACCUUGCUGCUAGAUGUAGUCCUUUCAUCUUCUUUUGCUUUUCCCCAUAUCACAGCAUAAAAUCCUAUUGAUAUAAUAAUUGCUCCAAUAAUACUGCAAAAUUAAGAUAGAAUUUAUAUAGAUUGCUUCUCAAAUGAUUCUAACAUGAAAACUAUGGAAAACAGUACCUUCCAAGAUACAGGGAAUCACCCAGGAAAAUGGCACUCAUAAAAGCAGCAAUGGCGAUUGAUACUGGUUUGAAUAUUGCAAUGUAGACAGGUCCUUUCAAAUGCAGCCCCCNNNNNNNNNNNNNNNNNNNNNNNNNNNNNNNNNNNNNNNNNNNNNNNNNNNNNNNNNNNNNNNNNNNNNNNNNNNNNNNNNNNNNNNNNNNNNNNNNNNNNNNNNNNNNNNNNNNNNNNNNNNNNNNNNNNNNNNNNNNNNNACACUAGGCCUUAGCAUCCAAGAACUUAACUCAGAUUCUGCUAUUAAGGAAACCGGUGCAGAGAUAAUUGCCGCACAUAUGUUGUAAAACAAUGCAACAAGCAAUUCAGCUGGGUAAAUCUCCAUAACUUGGGUCUGGGAGAUUCCAAAAUCCCAAGUUCAGUUCAGUUUAUUCGAAAGUUUUCAACAUUGUAGAGGAGUGCUUAGAGAUGUAUGAUUUACCUGGAUAAUGUACCGAAUCGAAAAUAGAAGAUAGGCAACAGCAAGUAGGAUCCCACCAAUGACCCAAUUUGAAUAUGAAAGUUGAAGUAAAGUAGAAGAUGGUGAUGGAGAGGAAAAAACUUGGGGGCCUUUGUAAAGAACAACUAAUAGUGCGCCUGAAAUUGAUGCUAUGGUCCCCAUGAUUUUAGCUUGACUGGUUGAGCUUCUCAAUGCUACUCUUUCCAAUCUUGUUAUUUUUAGCAUCAAACCAAAGGUAGAAACAAUAAAAAUUAUUGUUUAGUGCUUUUUUUUAUAAAAAAUCUAAUAAAAUCCACUCAAAAUUUAUUUAACUAUUACUCUGAAUUGAAUAUUAGAAUCAAAAUCGGUGCUUGGUUUGAUUAGGAAGAGGAAGAAACCUGAAAAGAACCGCCAGUAUGAAGGUAAAAGCUGGUGAGAGAUUACGAAUAGUAGAAGCAAGAGUUGGGUUGCUAUAAUCUAUACCCUUAUAUGCACAUACUUGAGCAAAAAACCUGCCCCCAGAAAAGGGAAAAAAAAACACUCUUAGAUAGAAAUCUUUCCAAGAAUCGAAAAUAUAUAUGAUCACAUGUGAGAAAAUAUUUACAGUGAUUCAAUACCCAAUAAGGCCAAGUAGGAAAAUUCUAAAGCCAAGGUGGAAUUUCAAUGAGGGAAGCACACGUCCACUGCACUACAAACAAGCAAAUUUUCAAUGGUGUUGAGUGGUCAUAAAUGUAAAAAAUGUCUUGAUAAUAUUAAGAGAACAAAAUUAUUAAAUUCUUCUAUUAGUUUUAUGUAUGGAUUUAGUAUUUGCAUUUUAAUUAAAUUAUUUUUAAUUAUUGAAAUUUUAUUUUUUCUCUAAAUUAUAGCUAUUAAAUUUAUUAAGUUAAAUUAUUUUUAAAAUUUUAUAUUAUCACUAUAUAUAUCAUAAUUAUAAUUUUAAAAUAUAAAAAGUAAAAUAUAAAAUUAAAAAACAAUAACUAAAUUUACAACUUACUUAUCAUACGAACCUAAUAACAUAACUUGAUCUAAUAAAUUUAAUAUCAAAAUUAAAAUUAUAAAAUUGGAAAAGUAGAGUAAUAACCAAAUCUGGGCAAAGAAAAAACGUAAAAGAUGACCUGGGAAAGAGGAAGGAUAAAGGGAGGAGAAGAAGAGCUCCAAUAGCGUGACCAUAAGUAAUGAAGAUGAAGUAGCUCAUCCCCUUUGAAGUUGCUUUUUUGAAUAGAACGUUUUGCCCUACAUUAGUGCACUCUAUUGCAACCAUGGCUGUUAAUGGCAGAACAUCGUUGUAGCAGUACCUUCUUGCCAUCUGAAUCUCCUGCUUCUCAAUGGUAUUUCUCAAGAAUAAUAUACAAUAGUCAAAAGGACUACAAAAAUGGGGAAUCUUUUUCUUUCAUGUUAAAUUUGUCUUUUAUAAAUAACUUUAGGUUGUAAUUAAAUAAUGAUUAUGGUAGCAAUGAUUGUGACAUGUGAUAAAUAUCUCCACUAAUAUGUUCAGCCAUUCAUUUCAUCUUCAACGUGCACCAAUAAUUAAUGGCAGUUGGCCCCCCCAAAAAAUUAAUUAAUAUUUAUUUCAAUUUAUUUAUUUUGAUUAAAUCAUAAAUUUAUACUAUUAUUUACACUCGUGUUUGAUUUGGUAUUAUGAGUCAAUCAAAUACAACUCGGUUAGGAAAAUUAUUAAAAUGUUUUUUUAUUUAAAAUAAGUUAUAUUAUCUGAGAGUAUUUUAGUUUUUUUUAAAAUUUUAAAAUAAACAAUAAAAGAUAUACAUUUUGCGAGAUAUGAACCCAAGCCAAGUGUAUUAGAAAUACCUUAAAUUUACCCCUCAACCAAAACUUUGUUUUAAUAUUUUAUACAUUUUAAUUUUAUUAUAUAAACAUUAUUACCUCCGUAAAUUGUAUAUAUUAAUAAUAUUGUCGAUUGAGUUGAUAUCAUAAGUUGACUCGUCACGGCGCCAUCAACUCAAGAUUGAUGACAACACCAUCGCAAACAUUUCUAGAACAUUUAAUAUUUUUAAUUUAAUGUAUUUAUAUGUUUAAAUGUCGUUUACUUGCAAUUUGAUCUAUAUUUUUUCAUUCGUAUACAUUGCAUGUGUAAUUAUUAAUUAGUUUCAAACUAUACGUCUUAUUAUUUAUUAUAUGUUAUUUUUAAAUACACUCAUAUGUUCUAAAUAUGUAGUUUCCACACUUAUGCACGUAUGAUAAAUUUAUAAUGGUAUAAAAGGCUGCUAACAAUAUCCCAAAAUUCAAUAUAAGUGUGUGUCAUUUUUUUUGUAAAAAUUUCAAAUUUCAUCAAAUAAAUUCAUUUAGCAAUAUUUUUUGUAAGUUAAACAUAUUCCUCGCUAACUAAUCAUUAGUAGUACACAAAAUUCAACGAAUAAUUUAAAAUUAAAAAAUUAUAAAAAUUAUUACAAAACAUCAAAUUGUUAUUGUAAUGCCCUCAAACCGACUCAAUCCAUCGGGUCCAGAUUUCGGUGUUACUACACAUGAUACUUAACAAAAUAUUGAACAAUUGACAAACAAUCCUUACGUAAAACAUUUUUCUUAUUAACUUUGUCGAAACCGUCUUUUUUGUAAAACAAAAAUUUAGUUGUCGACUUUAAAAACAAAAGUUGGAGUCGCCACCAAUCCUUGAUUGAGGUGUGACCGGCUCACCUUAAAAACAAUUUUGGUCUACGAAAUUUGAGAAAAUAGGUUCGGGAGUCAGUUAAGCACGAUGAAGGGUUAGCACCCUCGUAAUGCCCAAAAUCGGUACCAAAUUGAUUAUUUAAUGUCUUGGUGUCGAAAAUUUGAAAAGAUUUUAAAAGGAGACUUUUUAUUUCAUGAAUGAAUCAAAAUAAUAAGACAUUCUUAUUUCAAAGAAAUAAAACACCACACCCAGUGAGUUAGGGCACAAUAUUUUUAAAUCUUCAAAAUACCCGAAUAUUGCCUUUUGCUUUUGAAAAUUCUUAUUUCGAGAAGUCAAAAUAUCAGGACCAGUAAGUUAGGACCCAACAUUUUUGAACUCCAAGAAUAAGCUUUUAUUUAAAAUUUGCGAAUUUAAUGCAAAAUGAAUACUUAGCAUUCUAAAUUCAUCGAAGAAUAAUCGCAAUCCAGUAAGUUAGGACACGGUCUUUCUCGAGAAUCAUGAAUGCCAAAUACUUUGAAAAUUUAUAAAAUAUGAUGAUUUUAAUGUUUUGACAAAACCAAAGUAUAUUUCCCGGAAGGUAUGUUAAAAGUUAAUGUAUAAUAUGAAACAAACUUUAAUUUAAGACCAAUAUGAAUAAAUAUUUACAAAUAUAUAUACAAGUACGAUAUGCAAGUAAAUUUGCAAACACGUGUACGCUUAUAUCUAACACGCAUAUACAAGUAUACAUGUAAAAAGAAGGAAUGGAGUAUAUCAAACAAAAACAAAUAAAAUACAUGUAUUGAAAAUAAAAUAAAAAUAUAAAAAUAUGCAUAUGUAUAUAUUUAUAGGAAAAAAAAAGUAUAAGUAUACUUGUAUUGGUAAAACAUGAAAAUACGCAUUCGUAUAUCGAUAUAAAGAAUGUUUGUAUGUACAAAAUCUAUGUAAAAAAUCUUUUAAAAUAUGUAUGUAUGUAUAUUUAUAUGUAACAAUUAUGAAAACAAAGUAAUAAUAAAAUGUACAUACAAUAGGUAUAUAUAUUUAAUAUAUUAAAAUAUAUACAUAUUAACAUGCACAUGCGCAUAUAAGCAUAAUAAUAAUAUAUAAUAUUAUAGUAAAAAUAAUAAAGGAAAAAAAAACUAAUAAUAUAAAUAACAUAAACGAAAAAAAAUCUAAAAUACAAGAUUAAAGGUUAAAUUGCGAAUAAGCAAAAUUUAAAUGCUGAUUUCAAAAGUAAAAAGCAAGGGGGCAGCAAAUUCAGAAGCGCGCAAUAGGAGGAGGACCGAUCGAGCAAUUUUACCCAGUUUCCAAGACGCUGCGUAGCAAGGGACUAAAUUGAAACGAAAAUCAAAUACGCGGCCCAAUUUAAAAAAAGGUACAAUGGGUCUAAUUGGGGUGCGCUGCAAAAGGUAGGGACCGUCUGCGCAAUUUCCCCUUUAAAGCCAAACGCGCGGAUCCUCCCCUUCGGGUCGGGUCACUGCGCGGGUCGCACCUGGCUAAAACGCCGCUGUUUUGUCUUUAAUACUAAAACCAAAAUUUUCUUUCUAAACAACAAUUCUAUUUCAUUUUUUCUUUUUCUUUAAAACAGCAGAGGGGAAAAAGGGAGGGGGGCUGACUCUCUGCUAGGGUUCAACCCUAGCCCCUUCAUGCCGCCGCCGCCGUGGAGCCACCGCGUACGGCACUCGAAACCAACGCCCGAACCCAGGUAAGCGCCCUUUUCCUUCCUUUUUAUUUUAAAUGAAAAAUAAAUAAGAAAAAUCAAAAAUAAAAAAACACAAUUCACCUUCGAAAAAAAUUUGGAAUCUCAGUCUUUCUCUCUAUUUUCGUCUAUUUUUUACACUGUAAAAAUUCCCCAAGAUACAAAUUUUCAUCGGCUUUAUAUAGCCGAUUAACACCAAAAAUCCGAAAAAAAUCAAAAACCCAUUUCUUUCAGUUAUUUGCUGUGCUUGUGUCCCCCUUUUUCACAGGUUUGGUGACCGUGGAGUGCGCGCGAUGAGCGCGGAGCGACAAGCGUGGCGUGUGGGUGCUAUUGCGGCGUGCAUGUGGGAGCUGCUGCGCCUAGGGUUCCUGCUGGUGUUUUGGGCUAGCAAGCUUGGUUUAGUAACUUGGGCCAUUGGGUUUCAAUUAUUGGGUUUUAGUUUACAUUUUUUUUAUUUGUAUAUGGGCUGAGUUUAGUAGGUUGGGUCUAGUAUUUCGGCCUAUUUAUUUACUUGGGCCCGGGCAUUAUUGGGCUUGUACAGCUGCCCUUCUUUGCUCAUUUUCGUGUAACGGGAAUAGAGCAAAGACUAAAAGCCCAAUUGUGCCCGGUCUUACUGAGUCUCGCCUUCUUCAGUGCUUUUCUUCUUCAAGUAACUACAUUCCCUCUUACUGCAUGUUCAGAGGUAUAGGAACUGGUGCUUCGAUCUACCCCAUUGCAUUUUCGGGGAGAUAGGAUUCAUAUGUUGUAGGUUCUUGAAAGAAAAAAAAAUUGCUAUCUUUAAUCUGCUCCACUGCAUAUUCAGGGAGAUAAGACUUAUAACUUCAACUUGUUCUGCUACGACUUAAAGAUAAAUCGGAUGCGAUCUGCUCUACAGUAAUUUCACAGAGAUGAGAUCUGUGAUUUUAAUCCACUCCAUUGCAACUCUAAGGAGAUAGGACUGGUUAUUUCUGUCUGGUCCACUGUAACUUCAGGAAGACAAGACUUGUAUCUUCGAUCUACUUCGCCACCAGUAUGGGAAGACAAGAUUUGCUCUCUUUGAUCUACUUCAUGCCAAUACAUGAAGACAAGAUCUGCUUUCUUCGAUCUACUCCACGCUAAUACAUGAAGGCAAUAUCUUCUUUCUUCGAUCGAUUCCACUACCGAUCAGGGAGUUAGAAUUACUGGCUUCAAUAUACUCCACUGUAACCUCAGGGAGGUAAAAUCCACCAUCUUUGAUCUGCUCCACUACUGCUUAGGGAGAUAAGAUCUGUAAUCUUCAAUCUAUUCCACUGUUGCCCAUGGAGAUGGAAUUCAAUGUACUCCACUGUAACCUCAUGGAGGUAAAAUUCGCCAUCUUCGAUCUACUCCACUACUACUUAGGGAGAUAAGAUCUGUAAUCUUUAAUCUAUUCCACUGCUGCCCAGGGAGAUAGAAUUACUGGCUUCAAUGUACUCCACUGUAACCUCAAGGAGGUAAAAUCUACCAUAUUUGAUCUGCUCCACUACUGCUUAGGGAGAUAAGAUCUGUAAUCUUUAAUCUAUUCCACUGCUGCCCAGGGAGAUAGAAUUACUGGCUUCAAUGUACUCCACUGUAACCUCAAGGAGGUAAAAUCUACCAUAUUUGAUCUGCUCCACUACUGCUUAGGGAGAUAAGAUCUGUAAUAUUUAAUUUAUUCUACUACUGCCCAGGGAGAUAGAAUUACUGGCUUUAAUGUACUCCACUGUAACCUCAGGGAGGUAAAAUCUGCCAUCAACCUGCUCCACUGCAAUCGAGGGAGGUAAAGCUGGUAUCUUCAAUCUGCUUCGCUGUCAAUGUAGGAAGGCAAGAUUUGCUAUCUUUAACUUGCUCUACUGCAACUGAGGGAGGCAAGGUUUUAUUUUCGAUCUGCUUCGCUGUCGGUGCAGGAAGGCAAGAUCUGCUAUUUUCACUGAUCUGUUCUCUGGAGAACAUGACCUGUAUAAUAAACCUAAUUAUGCCUAAUGAUUAGGAUGUCAUGAACAGAAUGAAUCAAAUGCUCCUAACUAGACAUGUAUGAAUGGCAUUUGAAUGAAUGUAGAAUGUCAUGAAAAUGAUAUUUUAAAGCUUGAGUUAUCAUUACUCUAAGUUUAUUAAGGUCCUAUCGCUUAAUGUACUAUAGCGCCUUUAUGCUCGGUUGGCGAACCUAAUAAGCACUUGACCAGAUUGCCCCCUCACUGUAAACUUCCAAGUUUGAUCCACUGGGAUGCAAAAUUUGUACCAUCUUUUCCCGUUGUAACCCAAGAGUAAAAGAUUUGGCAUUUUCUCAAUCCUCUGUUAUCACAGUUCAAGGAUACAGGAUGUGAGACUUUUUGGUCUCUUACACCAUUCCCAAGGUGUUGUACCAAAUGCUCAUGCACAAAUGAAGAAAUCUUCUCCAAGAACAACUUCUUCUUAUUACUCGGUGAUAAUUGCUUGCUUGUUCAUUGAAGCUUUGUCACCAAUACGGCAUCCUGCCAUUUUGUUCAAUUAAUACUUUAGACAAGAAAAUUCAAAGGGAUAGUCUUAAUUUAGACUCUUCUUUAUCAGAUUUCUAACCUGGUGCGUUCUAAACAAUAGUCUUGUUUGAGGUUCCUAUAUUAUUCAGAAACUUCUAGAGUAAUAUGCAAAACUUCCCUUGUGAAAGUUUUAUUAGUCCAUUAAUCAUUAUUCUAAUACAACAUGCUUGCAAAAAAGAUCAUGGAUAAGAAUUGAGUUGGUUCUAAGAAUAGCUCGAAAUGAAUAAGUUAUCAAAGAUAAUAAAGAUGGAUAACAAAGAAAUUGAUUUAAGAAUGCAUAUCUUGGAAAUGAAUGAAGUGUUCCAAGAAUAACAAAAAAUAAUAUAGGGAUUAGGUGCCCCAGAUAUCGCAGCUUGAACUUCUCUGUACAGAUUUUUUUAAGACCAUUCUGAGUUUAACAUGUGUUUAGGAGUACUUUGUCGAUGCCUCAAGAUGUCGCCUACCAUUUCCUGUUGAUUCCGGUAUAGCAAGACCACUAUAUGCCCCCAUUCUGAUCAGUAUUUGAGCUACUUUGAAAAUUUCAAGCGCCCUUUUGAUCAAUAUUUGAGCCUCCCUUUUUGGGUUUUCAACUCAAAUCCCCUUUGGUCUAAGGCGCCCUUUGCGGGUUUUCACCUUAGCCUCUCCAUUUUACUUUUUCAUUUUUCAUUUUUCAUUUUCAUCUUUUUAUUUUUUCACAUCACUUUUUUUCUUUUUUCUUUUUGGGACUCAAACUGCCCUUUGCGAGUUUUUACCUUGGUCCUCUCCUUUUUUAAGCGAAGUAUUUCCUGACUGAAUCUGAGUUUACAGGACCUUGCAGGUUUAUCAUCCAUCUCGCUUAAAAUCAAAGCUCAUUUGGAAAAAAAACAUUCUCUAUAAUCAUAAGGUUCCUCCCAAUUUGGCAUCCGUUUCCCUCAUUAUAUUUUUUGUAGAGGUAGGAUCUUCAACAUUUGGUCACCCUUGUGGAAUUCUCUAGGAUGAACCUUUUGUUAUAGGCUUACAUCAUUCAUUUCUGGUACAUCUGACCGUGAUGAAUAGCUUUUAAUCUUCUUCCUUCUAUCAAGUUCAAUUGAUCACAUUACGAUCUGAUCUAUUCUGCUUCAUCCAACUUGCUCAGCCAAUACCCAGAGAGAAAAAAUUUCAACUUCAAUAGAAAAAACCGUGAUAAACAGAAAAAAGUGGCACUGCUCCAGUAGAGUUUUCACUGCAUCAUUCAUGAUAUUAACCUCGAACAUACUGCAAAUUUCUGAUAUCGUGCUGUUGUUCAGAUUGCAAUGACAGCGCUUAACCUGGGCAUAUCCUGGUAUGACCAUGCGUAGACAUCUUUGAAUUCUUGAAGUAACUCAACAAUGUAUUGCUUUGUCUUUGAAGUCAUAUCAAUUCCAAUCUUCAACAAGCUCACAACUUUUAAUGAUUCUUUAUGAGGUAAGAUCUGUCUAUCCUCUUAUUCUACCAUCCUCAAUAAGUCCGGAGAUAAGCUACGAUCCAUGUCAUCUUCAAAGUUAUGAGAUCCCUCUGAACACAUGUCUCACUCAAAAGGAGAUUCUGAGUCUGUAGCAGCGUUACUCAUGUCAUUGAUAUUUGGGGACCCAUGGUGGGUACUGAAGAAUAUACAAAAGAAUGUAUGAAUAAUAUGAAUGAAUGAAUGAAUAAUUUGGCAGAAAAAAAUCUGAAAGAAUGAAAAAAAUUGUAAAGAAUGAAAGAACAUUUGCUCAAAGAUGAUUGCAAUAAUGUAUUUUAUUAAAAUAAUAAUGUUCAGACGUGAGCCUAUUUCACAAAGAAAUUCCUAUUACAUCUAGGCUGAAAGCAAAAGUGUGUUCUGAACAUUACUCUAACAGACUCUAAAUACUUCAAGAGUUUCCUCUGCAGUCCCAUUAUUUAAAACACCUCUAAGACGAAUAUCUAACAAGGACCCUUUUGAUUAUGUCUGCAUCUAUGGCAUCGAUAUGCAAACUUCUCACCACUUCUUCAUACAUUGCAGUCCCUCUAUCCUCAAUCAUGAUUGGGUAACGGAUUUUCUGCACUUGAUGAGUCACCCAACUUGACAAUACCCAUGUUGAUGAAUUUUUCAACUAGCUUUUUAAAGGUAAUGCAAUUCUCUAUUGAGUGCCCCGUAAUUCCCGCGUGGUAGUCAUAUUGCGCGUUCGCAUCAAACCACUUAGGAUAAGGAGGUUGUGGAGGUUUUAAGUAAUGAGGAGUAACAACAUGCGCAUCAAACAAGAUUUGAUACAGAUCCUUAUAUGACAUCGGAAUUGGUGUGAACUGGAGCUUCUUAGUACCUGGUUUCACUCUAGAUUCUUGUCUUAAUAAACCUUGUUGGUUAGUGCCACCUUUCUUGGCUGACUCACAAUAACUGGUUUAGAGUAACUCGUGUUGUGCACCUCACUUUCUCUUUUCUUUGAGAUUGACCUCUUGUUACUCUUCUCUGCAUCAAUUUUCCCGCUCCUUACAGCGCUUUCAAUCAUUUCACCAUUCAUGACUAUGUCAGAAAAGCUUUUUGUGGCACUUCCUAACAUAUGUGUGAUGAACGGGGCUUUCAAUGUAUUUAUAAAAAGUAUCAUCAUUUCUUUCUCUAAGAGCGGUGGUUGAACUUGGACUGCGACUUCCCUCCAUCUUUGUGCGUACUGCCUAAAGCUUUCGCUCGGCUUCUUCUCCAUGUUUUGAAGGGUAAUUCUAUCAGGAGCCAUGUUUGUCAUAUGACUAUACUGUUUCAUGAAUGCUUGUGCCAAGUCCCUCCAUGAACCAAUCGUGGUACGGCUCAGCUGAUUGUACCACUUAGAUGCUGCCCCUGCUAGGCUAUCUUGGAAACAAUGUAUUAAUAACUGGUCAUUGUGAACAUAUCCAGCCAUUCACCUGUAGAACAUGGUGAUAUGAGCCUCUGGGUAAGUCGUCCCAUUGUACUUCUCGAAUUCUGGCAUCUUAAACUUAUGAGGGAGUACCAAAUCAGGAACUAAGCUCAGCUCUUUAGCGUCAAUCCCACGACAUCUUUCAGUGACUUCCAUCACCUUGAAUUUCUCCUCGAGCCAUUUGCAUAUUUCCUCUAGCUGCUUUGGUAACUCCUCCUUUAUUCUUUCCUGUUCAACCACUUCAUUGAAGUUAGGAAUGACAGAGUUAACAGGGUAGUUUUCAGGGUUAGAGCCCAACCUAGCUUGAAAGUUCGAAGCACUGGCCUGGGACUGCUGAGGCCUGAUUGUGACAGUGGGUUUGUGCGAAUAUUCAGCUUGAGUUCGAACAUGCGGAGGAGUAAAGUCUGGAGGAUAGAGUGGUUCAUUACCCUCUUCGACAUCAGUCAUGGGACCCUUUCCCUUAUCACCUCCUCCAGUCAACAGUUUGGUCAGCUUCGCCAUCAUAUCAUCUUGGGAUUCUCACAUCUUCUCAGACAUAUCCUGUUGCAUCUUAUCUAACCGCUCCUGCACCUGUAGCUGAAGCCGGUCUUGCAUCUCCUUCUGACACUGUUCUAGUUUUUCCAAUCUCUGAUCCAUGUCCUUAAUCUUUGCUCGAGUGCCGUAACGGUGCUUGGUCAGUUGGUUGGUUUCCAGGUUAGCUGAGCAAUGAUUUUAGUUAAUUAGGAUCCUUUAACUGUGUUUAAUGCAUAUGAUGUAAUGAAAUGCAAAUGCAUGAAAUGAAUGCAAAAAGAGACGUUGAUUCAUUUUCAAUUUUUUUACUAGAACACUUUACUAGAAAACAGAUCUCUUCACAUAAAGCGGACAUAUAUAUACGGCUUUACCCUCAUACUCCAAGUGAAGACAUCGACCCUUCAGAUAUUAAGAUAUAUCUCACGAAUUUGAUCUCCUUUUUGUUUGAUCUAGGUCGUAAAUCCUUGCUCAUUCACGUUCAUUAGCUUCUUUAUGAUAUUGGAACAUUUGAUGACUUUUGAAUAAACUUUGACAAUUUGGAUCCUCAGGUCAUGCAGCAAAGUCGUAUACUCCUCUUGUUAGGCUUUUCGUGCCAUGUUUUCUUCGGACCACUGUAUUAUCUUCCACAUUAUCAAGAAACCCGUAUUCUAUAACAAGCUUUCUAAUCUAGUAAUCAAACUCAAAUAAACAUCUCUUUUGUAAGAUGCAAAUGCAAUGCAAUCAUGAUGUCAUGCAAUCAAAACAAAAUAAACCCAAGUCAGUAUCACACCAAAAAUAUAUAAUCCAACACAAAUAUGAAAUAGCAAGAACAUUUAUUCAGGAAUCCACUAGGGUUUGGUAUAGCUCUACCUAGGGCAAGUUCCUAAAGCUCAUUAUAUGAGGCUUAGGUUCUAGAGUAAAGGUACCCAAACCAGCAGAUUCCUCAAUCCUCACCCAUUAUAGGCUCAUGUGGAUCGAGUUCAGUUUAGGGAGAUACAUUUCCCUAUGGCUGCACGGAUAUGAAAAUCUCACGAAGACAUAGGUACGGAUGUAUCCCGGAAGCGGUCCACUACCCUGCACGGAGGUGAAAACCUUACGAAGGACUAGUUUCUCGCUCCCACUUAAGGGGGUAAAACGGACCAUGCAAUGCAAAAUGCAAAAUUGCCAACAUACCAAUAUGAAAAAACAAUGAAUGCGAAGAGAACUCAUGAUUUUUUUAAAAACUUUUGACUUUCGACAAAAAGAUAAAGCAUAAUCAAUUCAUGGCUCGACUCUCAAAUUCUCCAGUGGAGUCGUCAAGCUGUCGAAACUGUCUUUUUUGUAAAACAAAAAUUUAGUUGUCGACUUUAAAAACAAAAGUUGGAGUCGCCACCGAUCCUUGAUUGAGGUGUGAGCGGCUCACCUUAAAAAUAAUUUUAGUCUACGAAAUUUGAGAAAAUAGGUUCGGGAGUCAGUUAAGCACGAGGAAGGGUUAGCACCCUCGUAACGCCCAAAAUCGGUACCAAAUUGAUUAUUUAAUGUCUUGGUGUCGAAAAUUUGAAAAGAUUUUAAAAGGAGACUUUUUAUUUCAUGAAUGAAUCAAAAUAAUAAGACAUUCUUAUUUCAAAGAAAUAAAACACCACACCUAGUGAGUUAGGGCACAAUAUUUUUAAAUCUUCAAAAUACCCGAAUAUUGCCUUUUGCUUUUGAAAAUUCUUAUUUCGAGAAGUCAAAAUAUCAGGACCAGUAAGUUAGGACCCAACAUUUUUGAACUCCAAGAAUAAGCUUUUAUUUAAAAUUUGCGAAUUUAAUGCAAAAUGAAUACUUAGCAUUCUAAAUUCAUCGAAGAAUAAUCGUAAUCCAGUAAGUUAGGACACGGUCUUUCUUGAGAAUCAUGAAUGCCAAAUACUUUGAAAAUUUAUAAAAUAUGAUGAUUUUAAUGUUUUGACAAAACCAAAGUAUAUUUCCCGGAAGGUAUGUUAAAAGUUAAUGUAUAAUAUGAAACAAACUUUAAUUUAAGACCAAUAUGAAUAAAUAUUUACAAAUAUAUAUACAAGUACGAUAUACAAGUAAAUUUGCAAACACGUGUACGCAUAUAUCUAACACACAUAUACAAGUAUACAUGUAAAAGGAAGAAAUGGAGUAUAUCAAACAAAAACAAAUAAAAUACAUGUAUUGAAAAUAAAAUAAAAAUAUAAAAAUAUGCAUAUGUAUAUAUUUACAGGGAAAAAAAAGUAUAAGUAUACAUGUAUUGGUAAAACAUGAAAAUAUGCAUUCGUAUAUCGAUAUAAAGAAUGUUUGUAUGUACAAAAUCUAUAUAAAAAAUCUUUUAAAAUAUGUAUGUAUGUAUAUUUAUAUGUAACAAUUAUGAAAACAAAGUAAUAAUAAAAUGUACAUACAAUAGGUAUAUAUAUUUAAUAUAUUAAAAUAUAUAUAUAUUAACAUGCACAUGCGCAUAUAAGCAUAAUAAUAUAUAACAUUAUAGUAAAAAUAAUAAAGGAAAAAAAACUAAUAAUAUAAAUAACAUAAAAGAAAAAAAAAUCUAAAAUACAAGAUUAAAGGUUAAAUUGCGAAUAAGCAAAAUUUAAAUGUUGAUUUCAAAAGUAAAAAGCAAGGGAGGAGCAAAUUUAGAAGCGCGCAAUAGGAGGAGGACCGAUCGAGCAAUUUUACCCAGUUUCCAAGACUCUGCGUAGCAAGGGACUAAAUUGAAACGAAAAUCAAAUACGUGGCCCAAUUUAAAAAAAGGUACAGUGGGUCUAAUUGGGGUGCGCUGCAAAAGGUAGGGACCGUCUGUGCAAUUUCCCCUUUAAAGCCAAAGGCGCGGAUCCUCCCCUUCGGGUCGGGUCACCGUGCGGGUCGCACCUGGCUAAAACGGCGCCGUUUUGUCUUUAAUACUAAAACCAAAAUUUUCUUUCUAAACAACAAUUCUAUUUCAUUUUUUCUUUUUCUUUAAAACAGCAGAGGGGAAAAAGGGAGGGGGGCUGACUCUCUGCUAGGGUUCAACCCUAGCCCCUUCAUGCCGCCGCCGCCGUGGAGCCACCGCGUACGGCACUCGAAACCAACGCCCGAACCCAGGUAAGCGCCCUUUCCCUUCCUUUUUAUUUUAAAUGAAAAAUAAAUAAGAAAAAUCAAAAAUAAAAAAAACACAAUUCACCUUCGAAAAAAAUUUGGAAUCUCAGUCUUUCUCUCUAUUUUCGUCUGUUUUUUACACUGCAAAAAUUCCCCAAGAUACAAAUUUUCAUUGGCUUUAUAUAGCCGAUUAACACCAAAAAUCUGAAAAAAAAUAAAAAAACCACUUCUUUUCGUUAUUUGCUGCGCUUGUGUCCCCCUUUUUCGCAGGUUUGGUGACCGCGGAGUGCGCACGACGAGCGCAGAGCGACAAGCGUGGCGUGUGGGCGCUGUUGCGGUGUGCGUGUGGGAGCUGCUGCGCCUAGGGUUCCUGCUGGUGUUUUGGGCUAGCAAGCUUGGUUUAGUAACUUGGGACAUUGGGUUUCAAUUAUUGGGUUUUAGUUUACAUUUUUUUAUUUGUAUAUGGGCUGGGUUUAGUAGGUUGGGUCUAGUAUUUGGGCCUCUUUAUUUACUUGGGCCUGGGCAUUAUUGGGCUUGUACAAACUUAAUUGAGAGACUUAAUAUUUGAGAACAAAAAAAGUAUUAAAUAUAAAAUUUUACACUAAACUUGUUACAACUCAUUACAGUAUCAAAGUUUGUUAAAGAUAGACUCUUAGGGGGUAACCCCAAUCUACGCCACUUUUUCACUGUAUGCAUAAUAACCCACUUCGUCGCUAUCCUGGUGUCAUCCCUCCUGGCGCAUUCUCUUACCACAAUACCUGAAACAAUAACAAAUAUUGUAAGUUCAAGAGAACUUAGUGAGCUUUACUACAAAAUACCUUGGUGGGUUCUAUAAUAUUUGAAGAUAAUUUGUGUGCCAACAUUCCCUUUGAACACUUACUUCUAUAUCGGCGGAUAACAUAACAGCCAAUACGGCACGGGUCACAGCCACCUCUGGGUCAGGUCAUCAGGUAUGGACCAAUACGGCACCGUUUUGGAGCCACUAAUCAAACUCCAAACGGCGUCGUUUCAUACGUCGCAUAAGGGCCAAAGGUAAAACCCUAAUCUGAUAGGCACUCUUUCAUUCUUUCAAAACGAAAAGAAAAAAAGAAAAAAACAAAAAAAACAGAGAGCUCAAAAGCUCUCCUCUCUGCGCCGCUCUUGCGCCCUCGACCUCCGCCAAGACUCCGAUUGCAACAGAGGUGGUCAGAGAUCCGACGGCCAGGUAAGUGCCCCCUCUUUCUUUGCCUUUCAUUUUACACUACUAAUGAACAACGCAGUAGAAAAGCAAGGAAAAACGGAGAAAGAUUUAAAAGAAAACAGCCCCUAAACAGAAGUCAGAUUCGAAAUCACCUCCAAGACUUUUUUUUUCGAAACUUGUUUUUGAUUUCUUUUUGUAUUCAAUCUCGGUGUGUGGGUGUUUUUACAUUCGAUCUUCCUUUAAAAAAAAGGGAACCCCUUUUACAAUUUCGAAAACGGCUUUAUAGCCAAAAAAAUCAUAGAAACUUUACAGGUAAUUUUUCUAAAAAACCUGCUAUUUCUCUGCUAUUCUCUUUUUUACGUUCGUUGCGUUUUCUGCUUUUGUUGUCUAUUGUUGUGUGCGUGUUGUUGCAGGUAUACGGGCGUAUGAGGACGUGGUGCGGUGCAAUGCGUGAAGGCGUGGUCCCUGGCGGUGGCGUGGCUCGGCUCGGAGGCUUGCUGGAGCGGCGGCUGAGGCGUGCGAGGCUCGUGGGGCCAAAGGAAAGCCCUAGUGGCUGCGGCGCUGGCUGCUCACCCUAGCUGCUAGGGUUUCGCUUGUGGCUUUGGGCUUAGGUGAUUUGGGCCAUUGGGUUUAGUGGGUCAAGCUGGUAUUGGGUUAACAGUUUAGGCUUGGGACUUUGGAUUUUGUAAUCGGGUUUGGGCUUAAUCUACUUGGUUGGUAAUUUGGACUGUUAAUAAUUUAAUUUUUUAUAUUAUUAUUAUUUUUAUUUGGUUUAUUUUGUUGGUUUAUGGGCCGGGAAAAAAUGGGUUCUUACAGCCCUUAUGUGUAUUGUAUUGCUUAUUUGUACUUAUCGAUUAUUUGUCAUCCAUUAGAGUACAUUUUGGUUUACGAAUUAUCACUUCGCAUUGUAUAUUAUCAUUUCCACCACGCUUUAUUUGCUCAAAAAUUAUGUUUAAUAUGACUUAAGUUUCGAAAUCAUUUUUAUCCAAAAGUUUCCAAGAUAAUGUAACACUCAGUAUUUGAGAUUUUUGAAAAGAUCGUACCCUAACUUAUCGGGUCUCAAUUUUUUGAUAAUUUCAAAUAUAUGAACCUUUUUCUUUAAAAGGCACAUUUCUUAAAAAUUAUAUCGGGAAUCAAGAAAGGACCAUGUUCCAACUUACGGGAUAUAAUCUCUUUUCCGAAACCAGGACGAUCAAAACUUUUAAAAGUAAAUAAAUUUUUGGUGUUCAUUCUUGUUUCGGAAUUUAAGAUAUUGUGUCUUAAUUCACAGGAUAUAAUUCUUUUUCUCGAUUAACGAGAAAUCACCCUUCUUGAAAUUUUAAAAGUAAUUUUAACUAAAGGAUCAUAUUUUUAAAUUUUUAAUUUUUCGACAUUAAGACAUUAAUUAAUCAAUUAGGUACCAAUUUGGGCAUAACGAGGGUGCUAAUCCUUCCUUGCAUGUAACCGACUCCCGAACCCGUUUUUCUAGAAUUUCGCAGAACAAAAUCAUUAUUUUAAUAAAAUCAAAACGUUUUAUCAAAACGAUUGAAUUGUAGGGUGAUCCGACCACACCUCAAAAAAAAAAUGUCGGUGGUGACUCCCAUUUUUUUCGUUUUUUAAAAAUCCAAGUCGACUAAUUUUUGCUUUCAAAAAGUGGCUUCGACAAUUUGUAUUUUUUAAAAAAUCAAUAAUUAAAUUUAACAUGUAAAUCGAGAUUUUUUUUAUUCAAUGAUACAAAAUUUUUUUUAUCUGAAAUCCAAUUUCAAAAUUUAAAUUUAAAGUGGUUACAAAAUGGAAUAAUAGACUUUAUAGAAAGGGAAAAGUAGGGGUUGAAACCAACCUAAAUUUAGAAAGAGAACAUGUCAUCCACACUCUCAUUUUGAACAAGACAUUACACCCACCAAACUCAUCUAACGCAAAUCAAGGAUGCGUUUCCUUGCUUCACGACAUCAAAUUUCAUCUUCUACAUUUUUAUCCAAGUGUUUUUCCACCCCUAAAAUUCUGGCCUUUUUGUCGUCGCCAUUUUUAUUGGCUUUGCCUUUCAUUCUAAAAAUAUUUGAUAGAUAUGAAGCUUGGAUCGCCCAAUUGAAAUGAAUGAAAAUGGAUCCUAACCCCAUAAUAUCUUAAUCCUCCUUAUUUUAGUUACAAUGAUGAUCAUCCUUCAUCAGCUCAACAUUGAUAAAACAAAAACUAAUUACAGAUGAUUCCUUAAACUCUGAUUUCCUAUACCAUUAAUGAAUCAUUUGAGCUAUUCUACAUUCUCUUCCACUUUCAACAGAGGAACCUUGC